CUUCAAGAAAAACAUACCUGGCUUUUAAAAUGAAAAUGUCAAUCUGAGAUACAACAGAUUGUUUACUUUCAUUUUAGUAGCCCGACAUCAUGUUGCCCGAAAUUGGAAAUCUUUGGAGUAUUUGCAAAUGACGCAAUGGAAACAAAAAUUUGGAACCAUGGCACUUUCAGAAAAAUUGACCAAGGAAGUUAAAGCCUUAGCUGGAAGGAGAGGCAAGGACAAUUUCUCUCAAAUGCCUUGUUCCUUGCACAAAAAGCAAGGUCAUGCCGAGUUAAAGAAAUGAAUUUAUCAUACUUUGCGAUAAGUAUUCUUGCUGCUGCUGUUGCAUACAUAAAAAAGUUCUGUCUUUCUUUAGCACCAAUUGGCCAACAAUGCCCAAGAGAAAGGCCUCUGGUUUCUUUAGAAAGGUAUACUUAAAUACCUUUUUUAACUCAUUAUAUAUCCUUUCCCAGAAGGCCUUAAUCUUUGGGCACGUCCACCAAAUGUGAAAGAAUGUACCUUCAGUUUCCUUACAUUUCCAACAUUUAUUAUCGGGCAAAUGGUAUAUUUUUGCAAGCUUGACUGGGGUCAUGUACCACCUGUACACCAUUUUCAUAAUAUUCUCUUUUAAAGCAUUACAUGCUGUGAACUUCAUACCUGUGGUCCAUAACCGUUCCCAGUCAGCAAACAUAAUAUUAUGUCCAAUAUCCUGUGCCCAUUUAAUCAUAGCAGAUUUUACCGUUUCAUCCUGAGUAUUCCAUUUUAGCAGCAAGUUAUACAUUCUUGAAAGUGUUUUAGUUUUGGAAUCUAGCAGUUUAAAGAAAUGAAUUUAUCACCCAAGUCCUAUAUUAAAAGAAGGCUGAAAACCAGAUUUCCUUUUUGCUUGUGUCAGAAAGUGGGGCGUCAACCAUUCCGGUCCAAAUAGUUGUGGUGCAGAAGUGUGUACAUCCACAAGUACACAAUGCUUUCCGCAAUGUUCCCCAGUUCCAGCACCAGAAGCAGAAUGUGCCUGAAGCCUUUUCUGUGGGUGAGACUCAACCAGGGAAUAAAGAACUCAGCUAUUUCAUCGUAAU